rfam:Setaria italica strain Yugu1 chromosome IV, whole genome shotgun sequence.
AGAGCAGAAUGCAGCCAAGGAUGACUUGCCGGGUAUGUGCAUGCAUGUUACAAUUGAGCAUAUGCAACCUGUUUUGAGUCCAUGCUCUGGUGUCUUCCGGCAAGUUGUCCUUGGCUACAUCUUGUUCUUU